rnacentral:rRNA from 1 species
GAUGAACGCUGGCGGCGUGCCUAAUACAUGCAAGUCGAGCGAACAGACGAGGAGCUUGCUCCUCUGACGUUAGCGGAGGGCGGGUGAGUAACGCGUGGAUAACCUACCUAUCAGACUGGGAUCACUUCGGGAAACGGGCGCAAAUACCGGAUAAUAUAUUGAAGCACAUGGGUCAAUAGUGAAAGACGGUUUUGCUGUAACUACUCGAUGGAUCCGCGCCGCAUUGGCUGGUUGGUCAGGUAACGGCUUAUCAAGGCGACGAUGCGUGGCCGACCUGAGAGGGUGGUAGGCCACACGGGAACUGAGACACCGUCCAGACUCCUGCGGUAGGCAGCAGUAUGGAAUCUGCCGCAAUGGGCGAAAGCCUUACGGAGCAGCGCCGCGUGUGUGAUGAAGGUCUUCGGAUCGUAAAACUCUGUUAUUAGGGAAGAACAAAUGUGUAAGUAACUAUGCACUUCUUGACGGUACCGAAUCAGAAAGCCACGGCUAACUACGUG